CGUGAUGGAAGUGGACCUGGCAUGAGGACCGGGAUGGACCUGUUGAGGCGUGGAGGCACUGGCGGUGCAGCCAGGCUGGUCUGUAGCGUGCUGGACCUGGAGAGACACACACAUGCUGGAGCCAGAGGAAGUUGGACGUGCCAACCCUCCGUUAUAAUUGUAUAUUGGUUCUGUGUUGUUUGAGAAACUGGACUGUGUGCCCUCUGGAAACACCAGGCAAGUGAGCAGAGGAAUUAAGAGUGAGAAACACAUUUAUGUUGUGAAAGUGUGUGUGUGUGGUCAAUAAAAACCUAAAGUGGA